AUGGGCGGAAGCCUGAUGCAGCAACGCCGCGUGAGGGAUGACGGCCUUCGGGUUGUAAACCUCUUUUAGCAAGGAAGAAGCUUUUGUGACGGUACUUGCAGAAAAAGCGCCGGCUAACUACGUGCCAGCAGCCGCGGUAAUACGUAGGGCGCAAGCGUUAUCCGGAAUUAUUGGGCGUAAAGAGCUCGUAGGCGGUUUGUCGCGUCUGCUGUGAAAUCCCGAGGCUCAACCUCGGGCCUGCAGUGGGUACGGGCAGACUAGAGUGCGGUAGGGGAGAUUGGAAUUCCUGGUGUAGCGGUGGAAUGCGCAGAUAUCAGGAGGAACACCGAUGGCGAAGGCAGAUCUCUGGGCCGUAACUGACGCUGAGGAGCGAAAGGGUGGGGAGCAAACAGGCUUAGAUACCCUGGUAGUCCACCCCGUAAACGUUGGGAACUAGUUGUGGGGUCCUUUCCACGGAUUCCGUGACGCAGCUAACGCAUUAAGUUCCCCGCCUGGGGAGUACGGCCGCAAGGCUAAAACUCAAAGGAAUUGACGGGGACCCGCACAAGCGGCGGAGCAUGCGGAUUAAUUCGAUGCAACGCGAAGAACCUUACCAAGGCUUGACAUACACGAGAACACCCCAGAAAUGGGGGACUCUUUGGACACUCGUGAACAGGUGGUGCAUGGUUGUCGUCAGCUCGUGUCGUGAGAUGUUGGGUUAAGUCCCGCAACGAGCGCAACCCUCGUUCUAUGUUGCCAGCACGUAAUGGUGGGAACUCAUGGGAUACUGCCGGGGUCAACUCGGAGGAAGGUGGGGAUGACGUCAAAUCAUCAUGCCCCUUAUGUCUUGGGCUUCACGCAUGCUACAAUGGCCGGUACAAAGGGCUGCAAUACCGUGAGGUGGAGCGAAUCCCAAAAAGCCGGUCCCAGUUCGGAUUGAGGUCUGCAACUCGACCUCAUGAAGUCGGAGUCGCUAGUAAUCGCAGAUCAGCAACGCUGCGGUGAAUACGUUCCCGGGUCUUGUACACACCGCCCGUCAAGUCAUGAAAGUCGGUAACACCUGAAGCCGG
rnacentral:rRNA from 1 species